AACAGGAUUAGAUACCCUGGUAGUCCAUGCCGUAAACGAUGUCUACUAGCCGUUGGGGCCUUUGAGGCUUUAGUGGCGCAGCUAACGCGAUAAGUAGACCGCCUGGGGAGUACGGUCGCAAGACUAAAACUCAAAUGAAUUGACGGGGGCCCGCACAAGCGGUGGAGCAUGUGGUUUAAUUCGAUGCAACGCGAAGAACCUUACCUGGUCUUGACAUAGUAAGAACUUUCCAGAGAUGGAUUGGUGCCUUCGGGAACUUACAUACAGGUGCUGCAUGGCUGUCGUCAGCUCGUGUCGUGAGAUGUUGGGUUAAGUCCCGCAACGAGCGCAACCCUUUUCCUUAUUUGCCAGCACUUCGGGUGGGAACUUUAAGGAUACUGCCAGUGACAAACUGGAGGAAGGCGGGGACGACGUCAAGUCAUCAUGGCCCUUACGACCAGGGCUACACACGUGCUACAAUGGUCGGUACAAAGGGUUGCUACCUAGCGAUAGGAUGCUAAUCUCAAAAAGCCGAUCGUAGUCCGGAUUGGAGUCUGCAACUCGACUCCACGAAGUCGGAAUCGCUAGUAAUCGCGGAUCAGAAUGCCGCGGUGAAUACGUUCCCGGGCCUUGUACACACCGCCCGUCACACCAUGGGAGUUUGUUGCACCAGAAGUAGGUAGUCUAACCGUAAGGAGGACGCUUACCACGGUGUGGCCGAUGACUGGGGUGAAGUCGUAACAAGGUAACC
rnacentral:rRNA from 1 species